AGACGGAGGGAAUCAAAGCCUCCUGGUCCAGCCGUCCCAUUUUACUGCUUAACUCAGCCUGGAGUGUCAGAACCAUCUCUGCCUGCCUUCUCUGUGCUUUGUAUAGUGGGGCCAGUCGCUCUCAACGGCCAACCCACUGAGUGGAACAGGGGUCUAGGGUGGACCAGUCCGUUGGGGUGACUUUCUAACAUUAUCUCUAGUGUAUUUUAACAGUACAGCGCUUGUGGUGGUUCUUAGAGAGAGACAAGCUUUGAUUUAUUUUAUUUUUUUAUUUUUUGGCUUCUUUUUCUUCUGGUGAUCUGGAUUUGUUUCCUCGGGCCCCUCCCCUUGUUCUGUUCUUUCUCACUCCCGCCUUUGGCGAAGUGACACAGGCGACACCUGCUCGCUUGUGCCUGCUGCUGGAACUCGCACCUCCACGGUGGUGAAGGUGCCGGCGCGCUCGUGACUUGGGGGGACAGCAGAGGGGUCCCCUCCCUUGGAGCACACGAUGCCGAGAGUGGUGGCGGGUGGGCAGCGAGGAGCUCGACCGGCUGCACUUGGAGGCGCGAUCGAGGGGCUGCAGCUGGCUGGGAGUUGCUGCUAAGUGGACGCGACUCGACGGCGCCCAGGUGUCCGAGAGGCCACCCGCGGGACCCGAGUGCGAGCUGCGGGAACGCAGGCGUCUCCCGGGGAGGACGCCGGCCGAGCGCACAGCCCGCGAGCCUGCUCAGAACCGCUCCACACCGCGAGCCUGCAGACCUGGGAGAGCCGGGGAACUCGAGGAGUGUGCUGGGCGGCGGAGGCUGCUCUGCUGAAGGUGAAUCACCGCGUCCAAUUGCCUUUCCCUAGAGAACCCGGGGGAGGGCGGGAGAGGGGGAAACGUGUGAGCGCGCGCGUUUGUGUGCAAGGGAGAGCCGACGCGGGGCGAGAGGAAAAGUCCUCGCUCGCCGCUCAAAGCAAACAAACCGGAGAUGGAAUAAGAGCGGCGGUGGCUGGAGCCCGCCUGGAUCCUCGCAGUCGCGGGACCCGAGCGCACCGUGCGCAUCGCAUCGCAUCGCAUCGCAACGCCGGGGACAGCGGGCGACCGCGGACGCCGCCGGGGGCUGCGGAGACUUUGGCUCUCCCCCUCGGUCGACGACCCUUCCGAUUACUUUGACACUGUGGGAUAAAGAGCAGAGCCCAGGGACCGGCCUCGCGCGCUGCACCUUCCUCUUGCUUCGGGGAAGGGGGACCCCAGCUUGUAGGUGAAGACACUGCCGAGUCCCACUUUAGCCUUCGGAGGAGGCGGCACUCACACUCGCUCGCCCUCCGCGAACACACACCGGUGGACUUGAGGUCCCUAUGCCCCUGGAUGGUGCCAGCGGACCGGCAUCUCGGAAGCGAUGCAGGAGCGGUGAGACUGGCGUCGGCCCGCGGAAGCUACCGGACCAUCGCUAGGUGCUGCCGCCACCGGGACGCCCGGCUGCAGGAUGAAUAAGAGAUACUUACAGAAAGCAACACAAGGAAAGCUUCUGAUGAUUAUUUUUAUAGUGACCUUGUGGGGGAAAGCUGUUUCCAGCGCCAACCAUCACAAAGCUCACCAUGUUAGAACUGGGACUUGCGAGGUGGUGGCGCUGCACAGAUGCUGUAAUAAGAACAAGAUAGAAGAACGGUCCCAAACAGUCAAGUGUUCCUGCUUCCCUGGGCAGGUGGCGGGCACCACCCGAGCUGCUCCGUCUUGUGUGGAUGCAUCCAUAGUGGAACAAAAGUGGUGGUGUCAUAUGCAGCCAUGUCUGGAGGGAGAGGAGUGUAAAGUCCUUCCAGAUCGCAAAGGAUGGAGCUGUUCCUCUGGAAACAAAGUAAAAACAACUAGGGCAAACGUGUAAAACUCUUCACGUUGGAAUGGGAGAAGGUUUCUGCUGUGCCUGAUGACAAUUUUUGAUUUUCCACAUUCAAACUUAUUCUGGCUCCACACUGGAGCAGUAGUUAUGGCGAAUCCUAGUGUUGGUCGGCUUCUGAGGAAGGGGCAGAAGUUUCCUUGAGAAGUAAAGAGUCCAGACAACCCCAGAAAUGAGCGCCUGUCUCCUCAUUUCUCACAGAGCAGCAGGUAACCCAUUAACCACUCUUAAAUCAAAUAAUACUCAUGGCUGUGUUCAUGGAGACACAAGAAUAGAAGCUGGGCUCCUGCAGUGACCUUGAAGAUUUUUAUACUGCUUAGAAGAGACAUUGAAAAUCCAUUUCCAAGGGAUUCUGUGGCUUUUCAUCCACUUCUUAGUGAAACUAAGAUGUUACAGAAAUCUGAAGUGAACUUUGGGUCCUGAAGACUUUAUUGGCUGUGAACUACGCUUGGCUCACAACACUUCUGAGGGAAGGGGACACUGUUCUUCACGGAACUGGGAUAGAGUUGGUUUUCUGGGCUGACACCAGAGACUGUCACCUUUAAGGCUCCUUGCUUCAGCUGUGACUGUUCUUGUGUCUGAAGCUGUCUCCCAAGCUCACUGUCCUGUCAUGGAUGUGCUCCUGACUUCUUUGUUCCUUGUCUAGUAGGACUAUGUGCAGCUUUGAUGACGUUCCCUUUGCAAACUCUUCUGGCAUGGCAUAGACAGAGACAAUUUUAUUGGUAUUCUAAUCUUGAAACUCUGAAAGCCUACAUGUUUUAAUGUCUUACUCUUGCCUCUGUGAAAGGAAUAGAAGUAUUUAUCCAUUGAUAAUGAUAAUCAUUGGCAAAUCACAGUGACCUGAAUAUACCCCUCAUAUAAGAAUGUGUAGGCGACCUGACUCGUUUCCCCAAGGCUAACGCGUGGCCGCAGCUCUCUGGCAGUGGAGCAGGUAGUAGUUAGGACUGGAUUCCAAUUCCCAUCACACAGUGCUCUGUGCCUCUAGUGCACCCUUCCUUCCAGGGUUGGCCUUUUUUUUUUUAAGUGUACUUUCCUUUUUAUAUUUUCUUUUCUUUUCCAUCAAGGAAAUCAUCAGUGUACAGUCAAGUUAGCAGAGAGCUUUUGAUUUAAAAACAAACAAACAAACAAACAAAACCACCAGGGAUGCAUGUGUUUCUCUGAUUUCUCAUCACUUACAUUUCUUUCUAUCUCAUUUUAAGAUCGUCUCUUGCUCAAUCCCAAUGACUGCUUGAAUGCUUAUAUAUUUGUUCAGUCUGUGGAUAGAAAAAAAGAAAAAAAAACCUGUUGAUUUUCCUUGACCACAAAGGUCUAAAUACUCACUUAUGGUUGUUCCAUUCAAACAAUUCUUGGCCAGUAUUUUGUCCAUAUUUUCACAUCCUAAAACUUGUGAUUUUUAGUUCUUCGUGGUUUUUCUUACAUACGUUUAAAGGCCUUAAACAUUGAUUUACCUUUUUCUAAGUUAUUACAGAAUGUAUAAUUUUGUACUGCAUUUAUUUUGUUUCACUUGUGAUGUGGGAGAAGGGGACAGUGGGUACUGAAUUGUCACCCUAUAAUAAUAAUACCAUGUAAAUCUAUAGUUUGAAGGCAUAUAAAGGCAAGGGUUUUUCCAUGUCUUAAUUAUUUUAGCUUGAUCAAAAGAUGUUUCACAGAUCAUCCUAUUAGGUGGUCCAUCAUUUUAGUAAAAAAGUGAAGAUGUUUGGGACUUCUUGUAUUUCUAGAACUCACUGACAAAGCCAGUUAACCUUGGUUUCUAGGAUGGAGGUUCAUAGAGAAGAAUUUGUAUCUGUUAGUCUGUAACAAUACUCAAAGGGUCAUUUAGUAACUAGGACCUUUAGUGGGAAGAGCAGCUAAAAGUGCAAAAAUAUAUUAAAAAAUUAAAUUGGAAAAUGGCACUUUUAAUAUUGAUUGAAAGUCAACUGCCUCAUGAAAGUGUGGGAUGAAGUGAUCCUGCCUCACUUUUAAUUGCAUAAAACCAACUGGGUGGCUCUGCGUGGGUUUUGUAAUGGGUCAGUUCUACACAGGGUCAACAUGAAAUGAGUAACAGUUAAGCUGGACUUUCUCUGCCAAACAAAUUAUCACUACUUUCUUUGGUACAAAAUGAAAAACUAUCAUUUUGGGUAUUAUUAGUUUAUCCUAGGUUGGUUUGAAGUUAUGGAUCAUGCGUCUCACUGCGAAAACUGUCAUUUACAACAACACUGGAAAUUCUGUAUAAUAUAAAAGUGUAAUACAUGCGUAUCAAUAGAAAAAAUAAAUGGAAUUUCAAAUAUAUGAACUAGGAUAUUCCCAGUAGAUUAAUGUUGUGACUGUUCAGAAAAAAAUAAAUAAAAUUGGAAUAUAAAA